GUUCGCGUGGCGCAGCGGUAGCGCAACUGCAUGACUCGCAGUCGGUCGGAGGUUCGAAUCCUCUCGCGAACAC
rnacentral:tRNA from 1 species